AUGAACGCUGGCGGCGUGCCUAAUACCUGCAAGUCGCGCGAACAGACGAGGAGCUUGCUCCUCUGACGUUAGCGGCGGACGGGUGAGUAACACGUGGAUAACCUACCUAUAAGACUGGGAUAACUUCGGGAAACCGGAGCUAAUACCGGAUAAUAUAUUGAACCGCAUGGUUCAAUAGUGAAAGACGGUUUUGCUGUCACUUAUAGAUGGAUCCGCGCCGCAUUAGCUAGUUGGUAAGGUAACGGCUUACCAAGGCAACGAUGCGUAGCCGACCUGAGAGGGUGAUAGGCCACACUGGAACUGAGACACGGUCCAGACUCCUACGGGAGGCAGCAGUAGGGAAUCUUCCGCAAUGGGCGAAAGCUUGACGGAGCAACGCCGCGUGAGUGAUGAAGGUCUUCGGAUCGUAAAACUCUGUUAUUAGGGAAGAACAAAUGUGUAAGUAACUAUGCACGUCUUGACGGUACCUAAUCAGAAAGCCACGGCUAACUACGUG
rnacentral:rRNA from 1 species